rnacentral:rRNA from 1 species
GACGAACGCUGGCGGCGUGCUUAACACAUGCAAGUCGAACGGAAAGGCCCUGCUUUUGUGGGGUGCUCGAGUGGCGAACGGGUGAGUAACACGUGAGUAACCUGCCCUUGACUUUGGGAUAACUUCAGGAAACUGGGGCUAAUACCGGAUAGGAGCUCCUGCUGCAUGGUGGGGGUUGGAAAGUUUCGGCGGUUGGGGAUGGACUCGCGGCUUAUCAGCUUGUUGGUGGGGUAGUGGCUUACCAAGGCUUUGACGGGUAGCCGGCCUGAGAGGGUGACCGGCCACAUUGGGACUGGGAUACGGCCCAGACUCCUACCGGAGGCAGCAGUGGGGAAUAUUGCACAAUGGGCGGAAGCCUGAUGCAGCAACGCCGCGUGCGGGAUGACGGCCUUCGGGUUGUAAACCGCUUUCGCCUGUGACGAAGCGUGAGUGACGGUAAUGGGUAAAGAAGCACCGGCUAACUACGUG